AGUGAACGCUGGCGGCAGGCCUAACACAUGCAAGUCGAACGGCAGCACAGUAAGAGCUUGCUCUUACGGGUGGCGAGUGGCGGACGGGUGCGGAAUAUAUCGGAAUCUACUUGUUCGUGGGGGAUAACGUAGGGAAACUUACGCUAAUACCGCAUACGACCUACGGGUGAAAGCAGGGGAUCUUCGGACCUUGCGCGAUUGAAUGAGCCGAUGUCGGAUUAGCUAGUUGGCGGGGUAACGGCCCACCAAGGCGACGAUCCGUAGCUGGUCUGAGAGGAUGAUCAGCCACACUGGAACUGAGACACGGUCCAGACUCCUACGGGAGGCAGCAGUGGGGAAUAUUGGACAAUGGGCGAAAGGCUGAUCCAGCCAUACCGCGUGGGUGAAGAAGGCCUUCGGGUUGUAAAGCCCUUUUGUUGGGAAAGAAAAGCAGCAGGUUAAUACCCCGCUGUUCUGACGGUACCCAAAGAAUAAGCACCGGCUAACUUCGUG
rnacentral:rRNA from 1 species